rnacentral:rRNA from 1 species
UCUCUCUGAAUCUGCGAACGGCUCCGCAAACCAGUUGUAAACUAUAGCAAGUUCGUUCCGUUGUCGGCCGCAAGGCUAGCAAUGGGGCAAUAAGGAUAUCCGUGGUAAUUCUGAGGCUAAUACAAGAACGUACCCCCUGUCUGACUGGGCAACUGGAAGGGCGGGGAGCGUGCAACACGGCGCAAAAGAGACUGGGAAUCGGUGCACGCUCAGACCACCAUACAAACGGUUGACCUGGGCUUCCUGGGUGGCUCUUGCAAUGUGCUUCUGACCUAUCAACUAGAUGGCAGCGUAAGGGACAUGCUAUGGUUACAACGGGUACAGAGGAUAAGGGUUCGAUCCUGGAGAGUGGGCCUGAGAGAUU